rnacentral:rRNA from 1 species
AUGUCCUCCUCCAGCUCGAGUUCCUUCUCUGGCCUAAACAACAACACCUCCGAACCCUUGAGCCGCACCAACUACAUCCUAUGGCGUGCCGAGGCUCGCUCUCAGAUCAUGGGGGCUGGCCUGUAUGGGUACCUAGAUGAAACAAACCCCGAGCCCUCCAAAACAAUUACAGCAAAAAACUCUGAAGGUAAGGAACAACUUGUUCCGAAUCCUGCCUACACCCCUUGGUUAAUCCAAGACCAGCAGAUUGUAGCCUAUCUGCUGAGAAACCUCUCCAAAGAAAUCCUUGUGCAAGUCGCCUCGAUGGAUACAUCUCGUGCGAUCUGGACAGCACUCUCCACCAUGUUUGCCUCCCAAUCCAAAUCCCGUGCAAACAAUCUCAGAAUCUCCCUAACCGAUGCCCACAAAGGCUCUCAAUCUGCCGCCGAUUACUUUGGCUAUAUGAGAUCGCUUUCAGAUGAACUUGCAGCUGCAGGGAGGGGCAUCGGAGAAGAAGAGCUGCUCUCCUUCAUCAUUGCAGGGCUGGAUAUGGACUAUUAG